rnacentral:misc_RNA from 1 species
AACUUUUGGCAACGGAUCACUUGGCUCUCGCAUCGAUGAAGAACGCAGCGAAAUGCGAUAAGUAAUGUGAAUUGCAGAAUUCAGUGAAUCAUCGAAGCUUUGAACGCAGCUUGCGCGCCUGGGUAUUCUGAGGAGCAUGCCUGUUUGAGUGUCAUUAAAUUCUCAACUACACUGACUUGGUGUGGCUUGGAUUUGGGGGUUGUGGGCUUUUUGUAGUCUGCUCCCCUGAAAUUAAUUAGCGGUACCUUGGUGGAACUGUCUACAGGUGUGAUAAUUAUCUACAUCCUAGACAUCUGCUGGAAUGCUGCUUUCUAGACCUUACUUGUAUUGACAAUCUUGACCUCAAAUCAGGUAGGACUACCCGCUGAACUUAAGCAUAUCAAUAAGCGGAGGCU